AGUGAACGCUGGCGGUAGGCCUAACACAUGCAAGUCGAACGGCAGCACAGUAAGAGCUUGCUCUUACGGGUGGCGAGUGGCGGACGGGUGAGGAAUACAUCGGAAUCUACUUUUUCGUGGGGGAUAACGUAGGGAAACUUACGCUAAUACCGCAUACGACCUACGGGUGAAAGCAGGGGAUCUUCGGACCUUGCGCGAUUGAAUGAGCCGAUGUCGGAUUAGCUAGUUGGCGGGGUAAAGGCCCACCAAGGCGACGAUCCGUAGCUGGUCUGAGAGGAUGAUCAGCCACACUGGAACUGAGACACGGUCCAGACUCCUACGGGAGGCAGCAGUGGGGAAUAUUGGACAGUGGGCGCAAGCCUGAUCCAGCCAUACCGCGUGGGUGAAGAAGGCCUUCGGGUUGUAAAGCCCUUUUGUUGGGAAAGAAAAGCAGCAGGUAAAUACCCCACUGUUCUGACGGUACCCAAAGAAUAAGCACCGGCUAACUUCGU
rnacentral:rRNA from 1 species